rnacentral:rRNA from 1 species
AUUGAACGCUGGCGGCAUGCUUUACACAUGCAAGUCGAACGGUAACAGGUUAAGCUGACGAGUGGCGAACGGGUGAGUAAUGCAUCGGAACGUGCCCGGUCGUGGGGGAUAACGCAGCGAAAGCUGCGCUAAUACCGCAUACGAUCUGAGGAUGAAAGCGGGGGACCGUAAGGCCUCGCGCGAUCGGAGCGGCCGAUGUCAGAUUAGGUAGUUGGUGGGGUAAAGGCUCACCAAGCCAACGAUCUGUAGCUGGUCUGAUAGGACGACCAGCCACACUGGGACUGAGACACGGCCCAGACUCCUACGGGAGGCAGCAGUGGGGAAUUUUGGACAAUGGGCGAAAGCCUGAUCCAGCAAUGCAGCGUGCAGGAAGAAGGCCUUCGGGUUGUAAACUGCUUUUGUACGGAGCGAAAAGGUCUCCUCUAAUACAGGGGGCUCAUGACGGUACCGUAAGAAUAAGCACCGGCUAACUACGUGCCAGCAGCCGCCGUAA